CAUGGACGCCUAUUGCAUGCUUUGUGUUUGUAGGUGAGCAACAAAAUCACAACUCAAGAGACAGAAGCUUCAGUUAAAUUCUCAACAUUUUAUUGAGAUUUUAAGGCAACACACACACCUGGGGAAACUUACAUGAUAGUUUAGCGUCUCCUCCUGCCGGCCCUCCUCUUGCGCAUACGCCUGGGGCGGCGCCUCUUAACAGCCUUGGAGGAAGGAGAACGUCUGCGGCGUGCCAUUAUUGCUAAUGAUACUCUGACAGGCGCGUCGGGGGCUUUUAUACUCACAGGACAGUGACGUCAUCACACCCUAUCCAGUUUUGGUCAUGGUUUCAACAAAACUGUUGACUUUGGCAUUGUGACAUUUUUUGGGGUAGGCGUCACAAUGAUCGAUGGGACAACACAUGGGAAUCACUUUAAUCCAGUAAAGGUCACCUGUGUCGGCUAUGGCUGAUGCGCAGUGAAACGCCGAGACCAAGACAAUGACGUCACAAUGCCAAAGUCAACAGUUUUUGAAAACCAGACCAAAAAUCUUCAGGCUGCGAUGACGUCACCGCCCUGCGAGUAUAAAAGGUCUCGCCGCACCUGUCAGAGUAUCAUUAGCAAUAAUGGCACGCCGCAGACGUUCUCCUUCUUCCAAGGCCGCCAAGAGGCGCAACAGGCGCACAAAGAAGAGAGCAGGCAGGAGGAGGAGACGCUAAACUAUCAGGUAUAGUUCCCUCGGUGUGUCUGAAAAUCUCAAUAAAAUGUUGAGAAUUUAACACAA